rnacentral:rRNA from 1 species
ACGAACGCUGGCGGCGUGCUUAACACUUGCAAGUCGAACGAAGAGCGAUGGAAGCUUGCUUCUAUCAAUCUUAGUGGCGAACGGGUGAGUAACGCGUAAUCAACCUGCCCUUCAGAGGGGGACAACAGUUGGAAACGACUGCUAAUACCGCAUACGAUCUAAUCUCGGCAUCGAGGAUAGAUGAAAGGUGGCCUCUACAUGUAAGCUAUCACUGACGGAGGGGAUUGCGUCUGAUUAGCUAGUUGGAGGGGUAACGGCCCACCAAGGCGAUGAUCAGUAGCCGGUCUGAGAGGAUGAACGGCCACAUUGGGACUGAGACACGGCCCAGACUCCUACGGGAGGCAGCAGUGGGGAAUCUUCCGCAAUAGACGAAAGUCUGACGGAGCAACGCCGCGUGAGUGAUGACGGCCUUCGGGUUGUAAAGCUCUGUUAAUCGGGACGAAAGGCCUUCUUGCGAAUAGUGAGAAGGAUUGACGGUACCGGAAUAGAAAGCCACGGCUAACUACGUG